UACGGAGGGGGCAAGCGUUGUUCGGAAUUACUGGGCGUAAAGGGCUCGUAGGUGGCCAACUAAGUCAGACGUGAAAUCCCUCGGCUUAACCGGGGAACUGCGUCUGAUACUGGAUGGCUUGAGUUUGGGAGAGGGAUGCGGAAUUCCAGGUGUAGCGGUGAAAUGCGUAGAUAUCUGGAGGAACACCGGUGGCGAAGGCGGCAACCUGGACCGGUAUUGACGCUGAGGAGCGAAAGCCAGGGGAGCAAACGGG
rnacentral:rRNA from 1 species